AACCCAGGUGGCCUAGUGGUUAGGGCAUCCUCCUCAGAUGCGGGUGGAAAUGGGUUGGAGACCCGGCCGAGUCA